rnacentral:rRNA from 1 species
GACGAACUGUCCUAACGUUGUUCGGAAUCACUGGGCUUAAGGGGCGCGUAGGCGGCUUGUCGCGUCGACUGUGAAAACCCGUGGCUCAACCAUGUGGUCUGCAGUCGAUACGGGCAGGCUAGAAUUCGGUAGGGGAGACUGGAAUUCCUGGUGUAGCGGUGAAAUGCGCAGAUAUCAGGAGGAACACCGGUGGCGAAGGCGGGUCUCUGGGCCGAUAUUGACGCUGAGGAGCGAAAGCGUGGGGAGCAAACAGG